rnacentral:lncRNA from 1 species
ACUAUUAAAACACCCCCUUAAUUCCACCAUGGAAAAGGCUUUUAAAAAAAAAUCCUCAACAACCAUUCAUUAAGCACCUUCUCUGGCUGCAUGUGCCCAGUUCCUUAUUAAGCAUUGGUAAUACAAAAUAAGUAGGACACAUUUUCUGAAUUUGGAGUCAGGGACUAAAGAAGGCAUUUACAAAUUCAUGUGAUUGACAUCCUCUCCUUCAGAUGUGUACCCAGUGUGGUGAGAGCCAAAGAAGAUAACUUUGAGGGCUAGGUGGGAGAAUAGGGUAGAAGAAACUUCAGAAUGAAUGAUUAUUUGAGCUGGGUCUUGAAGAGUGAAUAGGAGUUCGCCAGUUCACAUUUUGCUUAAGGACAAAAAAAAAAAAAAGUAAAUGGAAAGAAGAAAAUGCUAGAGGAAUGGAAAAUGUUUGGAGUAGUUGAGACUCAAAGGAAUGGAGGGAAUGUGGAGUACAGGGUGUGGUGGACUGCAUUACCAUUCACAAAUACUCCCUGUCCCUCCCCACUGACAUCAGGCUUGGCCAUGUAAACUGCUCUCAGCAGAAGCUUUAGAAGCCAUGCUCUUUUCUCUCUGCCACAACCACCAGUGAUGUUUUAGAGAAAAGAUGCUUUAUUAGUCAGGGUCUGGGGCAAAGAUGGGGGUAAAAGUACAAACACAGCUGACUUAUGACAGACAUGCAGUACAAGUGAGAAACAAUUCAGGCUGUAAUCCAGAUUUGUGGAUGGCUAUCAAAGCAUCACCUAGUCUAGACAGAGGUAUGCUUUUUCCAUCUCUCUGACUUCUAGACACACACAGUAGGGUUGUACUUUCCUAUACCUUGAAGGCAUGUUCAUGUGACUGGUCUGGGCCAAUAAACAGAAUAAUGUGUUUCAUUCCUGGAAGGAAGGGUUUAGAGUCAACGUGAAUUUGCUAUGCUUUCUUUUCCUGCCAGGGUGACUGAAUUCACUGUGGAAACAUCAGGAUGAAAUCUUCAGCACAGGAUUCUGAGUGAGCACAGUGAGCAGAGUCCCUUUGACCUCAAACAUAUAGUAUGAGCAAAAAAUAAAGUUUCGGUGUUAAGCCACUGAUUUUAGGAUUUUUUUGUUACCGCGCA